rnacentral:lncRNA from 1 species
CGAGCCGCAGGCUGCCAUCUUGCCCCAUGUGGGCACUGGAGAAUGGGGCUAGUGUAGAGAAGACCCUAGAAGAGAGAUGUGGAUGGGACAGGGUCCUUGUGGCAUCAUUUGAGAUUCUGAACCUGGAGCUGGGGCUGCUCCCAGAGUUUUUGGAUAUAUGAGCCAAUACAUCCCAUUUUGGCUUAAACCUGCUGUAGCUGUAGGACUGUGACCAAGAGUUCUAUUUCUAUGAGUCCCGCAGGCUUGUUUCCCCACCUCUAAAGGGAGAGAGUAAUCACUCCCGUGGUCUGUUAUGCCUCGUCAUUAUCUGUGUAUAGUAGAGAUAUCUUGGUGUAUAGCACCAAGCACAGGACUUGGACAGAGUUAACCACUCAAUAAACAGCAGCCAUGGCCGUCGUCAGGAGCAUUGUGGAGCACUGGAUGCUGUCGCUGGUAUAAGGCCCAGACAUGACGGUGCAGAGGACAUCAGGACCAGCAGGACAUAAAACCCUCACGGUCACAGGGAGAAAGUCAGAUCCCGGGCACCUGACACAGCCAAGCCCUGCUCUCAACAUGUGUAUGACAAUGGGUGUGAUAGAGGUGCCCCCUGCCUCUGGGUCUGGGUUACAUGCCCCCUUCUUUGAGUCCUAGAGGGAACAGCCUGAUAGUGGGCACACCCCUUCCUCUCCCUGAAAUGACCUGGCAGACCCCCUUCCCCCAGUGAUGGCCUUAGGGAUUCCCAGCCAUCACCCCUCCCUCCAGGAACCCCUCAUCCCAUCCUUCCAUAGGGCCACCACACAGACAGGCCCUCUCGACCUUUCCCACCAUGCUCUGCACAACUAGGAUGGGCAGUGCCCCACCCAAAGCACUGCAUGCCCCGCUCCCCAUUGUCACAGUAGGUACAGGACAUGGGUCUAUUAGAUCUUAGACACUACAGUCCGUACAUGCCAAUCCAUUCCCAGAAGACCUCCCCUCCCCACCCCAGUGUCACUGAGCCACUUCCUCCAGCACAGCCCCACGGAGGGAGGCCCUUUUGUGUCUUGCCCAUCACCUGGCUGGCCAGAUCUGCUCAGCUCUUCCCUGACUCAAGAAAAACAAGAGAGCUUCAUUAGUCCGUUUUCAUGCUGCUAUUAAAAACUGCC